rnacentral:rRNA from 1 species
AAUAGAUACCCGGGUAGUCCUAGCCGUAAACGAUGAGCACUUGAUUGAGGGCCCCCCCAUAGGCUCUCGAUCGCAGCGAAAGUGUUAAGUGCUCCGCCUGGGGAGUAUGGUCGCAAGGCUGAAACUCGAAAGGAAUUGACGGGGGCUCACACAAGCGGUGGAGGAUGUGGCUUAAUUCGAGGCUACGCGAAGAACCUUAUCCAGGCCUUGACAUGUACGGAUGCUGCCCGUGAAAGCGGGUUAGUUGCCUUCGGGUGAAACGUGCACAGGUGCUGCAUGGCUGUCGUCAGCUCGUGUCGUGAGAUGUCGGGUUAAGUCCCUUAACGAGCGAAACCCUUGUCCUUAGUUGCCAGCGAGUCAUGUCGGGAACUCUAAGGAGACUGCCGGCGUUAAGCCGGAGGAAGGUGGGGAUGACGUCAAGUCCUCAUGGCCUUUAUGGUCUGGGGCUGCACACGUCCUACAAUGGCAUAUACAAAGGGAUGCUACCUCGCGAGAGCAAGCAAAUCCCAAAAAGUAUGCCCCAGUUCG